CGGCAACAGCUCAAAUUUGAAAUCUGGCCCCAGGCCCGAGUUGUAAUUUGCAGAGGAUGCUUUUGGCGCGGUGCCUUCCGAGUUCCCUGGAACGGGACGCCAUAGAGGGUGAGAGCCCCGUACGGUCGGACACCAAGCCUUUGUAAAGCUCCUUCGAC
rnacentral:rRNA from 1 species